CACGUAGGGAGCAAGCGUUGUCCGGAUUUAUUGGGCGUAAAGAGCUCGUAGGUGGUUCGGUAAGUCAGGUGUGAAACCUCCAGGCUCAACCUGGAGACGCCACUUGAUACUGCUGUGACUGGAGUCCGGUAGGGGGAGCGUGGAAUUCCUGGUGUAGCGGUGAAAAUGCGCAGAUAUCAGGAGGAACACCAGCGGCGAAGGCGGUUCUCUGGGACGGUACUGACGCUGAGACGCGAAAGCGUGGGGGAGCGAACAGG
rnacentral:rRNA from 1 species